rnacentral:lncRNA from 1 species
AUCCACUGGAGGAGUCCUGCAUACGACUGAAAUGUCCAAGUCCUAGAACUUGGACAUAGGUUCUAUGUCCAUAGCUGGGGGCUGCCCUGGAAGAGUACAGCCUUCCUUGAAACCGAGGUGAAAUCAGAGGACUAGACAGCUAGAAGCCAUCAGGUUCUUUUUGAGGGGAGUCUCUCUGAUGCUUGGAAUGAAUCCUGCUGAAUCAAUGCUGAUGCUUGGAGAUCUUCAAGUCUUUUCCCUUUUUCCCAUUGCUCAUGAUGUCUAUAUAACCUCCAAACAUGCAUCCCACUCCUCUGCCGAAAGACCAUUUUUUUAUAUCUUCAGUGAUGGUCUAGGCCAGGUUAAUUGACUUUUCUUUUUUCUUAAGCCAACUAAAGUCCUCACCACAAAUUAA